rnacentral:rRNA from 1 species
UUAAGCGACCAAGCGUACACGGUGGAUGCCCUGGCAGUCAGAGGCGAUGAAGGACGUGCUAAUCUGCGAAAAGCGCCGGUAAGGUGAUAUGAACCGUUAUAACCGGCGAUGUCCGAAUGGGGAAACCCAGUGUGACUCGUCACACUAUCAUUAACUGAAUCCAUAGGUUAAUGAGGCGAACCGGGGGAACUGAAACAUCUAAGUACCCCGAGGAAAAGAAAUCAACCGAGAUUCCCCCAGUAGCGGCGAGCGAACGGGGAGGAGCCCAGAGCCUGAAUCAGCAUGUGUGUUAGUGGAAGCGUCUGGAAAGGCGCGCGAUACAGGGUGAGAGCCCCGUACACAAAAGCGCACGUGCUGUGAGCUCGAUGAGUAGGGCGGGACACGUGGUAUCCUGUCUGAAUAUGGGGGGACCAUCCUCCAAGGCUAAAUACUCCUGACUGACCGAUAGUGAACCAGUACCGUGAGGGAAAGGCGAAAAGAACCCCGGCGAGGGGAGUGAAACAGAACCUGAAACCGUGUACGUACAAGCAGUGGGAGCCCCACCACUAAGCCAGUGGUGAACUCCACAUACGCAUCCUUUGCUGAGGAUACGGUUAACGGAGCGAAAGCGACGUUUAACCGCAAAAGAAGCAGAGGGGGCUUAGUGGUGGGGUGACUGCGUACCUUUUGUAUAAUGGGUCAGCGACUUAUAUUCUGUAGCAAGGUUAACCGCAUAGGGGAGCCGGAGGGAAACCGAGUCUUAAUUGGGCGUUAAGUUGCAGGGUAUAGACCCGAAACCCGGUGAUCUAGCCAUGGGCAGGUUGAAGGUUGGGUAACACUAACUGGAGGACCGAACCGACUAAUGUUGAAAAAUUAGCGGAUGACCUGUGGCUGGGGGUGAAAGGCCAAUCAAACCGGGAGAUAGCUGGUUCUCCCCGAAAGCUAUUUAGGUAGCGCCUCGUGAAUUCAUCUCCGGGGGUAGAGCACUGUUUCGGCCAGGGGGCCAUCCCGGCUUACCAAUCCGAUGCAAACUGCGAAUACCGGAGAAUGUUAUCACGGGAGACACACGGCGGGUGCUAACGUCCGUCGUGAAGAGGGAAACAACCCAGACCGCCAGCUAAGGUCCCAAAGUCAUGGUUAAGUGGGAAACGAUGUGGGAAGGCCCAGACAGCCAGGAUGUUGGCUUAGAAGCAGCCAUCAUUUAAAGAAAGCGUAAUAGCUCACUGGUCGAGUCGGCCUGCGCGGAAGAUGUAACGGGGCUAAACCAUGCACCGAAGCUGCGGCAGCGACACUGAUGUGUUGUUGGGUAGGGGAGCGUUCUGUAAGCCGUUGAAGGUGGCCUGUGAGGGUUGCUGGAGGUAUCAGAAGUGCGAAUGCUGACAUAAGUAACGAUAAAGCGGGUGAAAAGCCCGCUCGCCGGAAGACCAAGGGUUCCUGUCCAACGUUAAUCGGGGCAGGGUGAGUCGACCCCUAAGGCGAGGCCGAAAGGCGUAGUCGAUGGGAAACGGGUUAAUAUUCCCGUACUUGGUGUUACUGCGAAGGGGGGACGGAGAAGGCUAUGUUGGCCGGGCGACGGUUGUCCCGGUUUAAGCGUGUAGGUGUGUGUUCCAGGUAAAUCCGGUUCACUUUAACACUGAGGCGUGACGACGAGGCACUACGGUGCUGAAGCAACAAAUGCCCUGCUUCCAGGAAAAGCCUCUAAGCCUCAGGUAACAUCAAAUCGUACCCCAAACCGACACAGGUGGUCAGGUAGAGAAUACCAAGGCGCUUGAGAGAACUCGGGUGAAGGAACUAGGCAAAAAUGGUGCCGUAACUUCGGGAGAAGGCACGCUGACACGUAGGUGAAGUGGUUUACCCAUGGAGCUGAAGUCAGUCGAAGAUACCAGCUGGCUGCAACUGUUUAUUAAAAACACAGCACUGUGCAAACACGAAAGUGGACGUAUACGGUGUGACGCCUGCCCGGUGCCGGAAGGUUAAUUGAUGGGGUCAGCGCAAGCGAAGCUCCUGAUCGAAGCCCCGGUAAACGGCGGCCGUAACUAUAACGGUCCUAAGGUAGCGAAAUUCCUUGUCGGGUAAGUUCCGACCUGCACGAAUGGCGUAAUGAUGGCCAGGCUGUCUCCACCCGGGACUCAGUGAAAUUGAACUCGCUGUGAAGAUGCAGUGUACCCGCGGCAAGACGGAAAGACCCCGUGAACCUUUACUAUAGCUUGACACUGAACACUGGUCCUUGAUGUGCAGGAUAGGUGGGAGGCUUUGAAGUGUGGACGCCAGUCUGCAUGGAGCCGACCUUGAAAUACCACCCUUUAAUGGCUGGUGUUCUAACGUGGGCCCGUGAACCGGGUUGCGGACAGUGUCUGGUGGGUAGUUUGACUGGGGCGGUCUCCUCCUAAAGAGUAACGGAGGAGCACGAAGGUUGGCUAAUCCUGGUCGGACAUCAGGAGGUUAGUGCAAUGGCAUAAGCCAGCUUGACUGCGAGCGUGACGGCGCGAGCAGGUGCGAAAGCAGGUCAUAGUGAUCCGGUGGUUCUGAAUGGAAGGGCCAUCGCUCAACGGAUAAAAGGUACUCCGGGGAUAACAGGCUGAUACCGCCCAAGAGUUCAUAUCGACGGCGGUGUUUGGCACCUCGAUGUCGGCUCAUCACAUCCUGGGGCUGAAGUAGGUCCCAAGGGUAUGGCUGUUCGCCAUUUAAAGUGGUACGCGAGCUGGGUUUAGAACGUCGUGAGACAGUUCGGUCCCUAUCUGCCGUGGGCGCUGGAAGAUUGAGGGGGGCUGCUCCUAGUACGAGAGGACCGGAGUGGACGCAUCACUGGUGUUCGGGUUGUCAUGCCAAUGGCACUGCCCGGUAGCUACAUGCGGAAGAGAUAAGUGCUGAAAGCAUCUAAGCACGAAACUUGCCCCGAGAUGAAUCUUCCCUGAGCCUUUAAGGCUCCUGAAGGAACGUUGAAGACGACGACGUUGAUAGGCCGGGUGUGUAAGCGCAGCGAUGCGUUGAGCUAACCGGUACUAAUGAACCGUGAGGCUUAACCUU